AGUCGAGCGGCAGCGGGAAAGUAGCUUGCUACUUUUGCCGGCGAGCGGGACGGGUGAGUAAUGCCUGGGAAAUUGCCCAGUCGAGGGGGAUAACAGUUGGAAACGACUGCUAAUACCGCAUACGCCCUACGGGGGAAAGCAGGGGACCUUCGGGCCUUGCGCGAUUGGAUAUGCCCAGGUGGGAUUAGCUAGUUGGUGAGGUAAUGGCUCCCAAGGCGACAUCCCUAGCUGGUCUGAGAGGAUGAUCAGCCCACUGGAA
rnacentral:rRNA from 1 species